GUUAGUGUACGAUUGAUAAGUUCUCGAACUGCAUAUGAUCUCUUUAGACCGAUCUUGUCGUAUGAAGAUAAGGUCAAUCAUUGACAUGAUACGAGGGUCGCUAUCGUCAUGGAUUCUUGUUUUCACAAGUACAAAGAUGUGUUUACGUCGUGAGAUGAUUAUUGGGAAUCUCAUCUCUCUCGUUCUUCUUAAACCAUAAAGAAAUGGAUGACUUGUUUAAUCAUUAAACAAAUAUAAUGAUUCUAUCAUGUGUUGGUGGAGGAAGAUGGCGAUCUUGCCGAGCCCGAAGUCUCUCCACCUCUUCGCCAGUCUUUAUUCUUUUGUUUUCAUCCUUUUUGUCUUUGUUUCUUCCUCGGAGAAGACGCCCUCUUCGUUAGAUCCAAGGUCUCUUUUAUAUGAUGGCAAGGUUGUUGAAAGAAGCUAGUAAUAUGGUUAAUAAUUUGUUGCACAUGCUCCACCUUUCUAGCUACGACCUAUUCUUUAUUGAUCGCUCUCCGAUAUAUAAGGAGAAUAAUUCUCUUUGUUCUUUGACUUAUUCAUACUCAAAGAACCUCGGGCUCUAUGGGCCGACUUCGGGUUACGAGUUCUCAUGGGCCUAUCUAUGCUCAACUCGAGGUCGUCGUUAGCCGGUUUCUUAUCUUUUUGGCGGGAAGGAUUUAGUGCUAAAUUCUGGUCCAACAUUUGUUACUUCACGAACAUCAAAAUGGUUUGAUCUAAACCAAAGAUCGUUUAUGCGCGGACGUUACUUCACGAGAUUUCACGGGCCGGUUUGAGCCAAACUCGAGUUAAUGCUGUCAGCUGGUUGUCUAAUCCUUUCGGUGGGAUGGGUUUAGUUUUAAAUCCAGUACUAAUAAUUAUCCCCCCAGUUCUUCAAGUGAGGUGACGAAGUUGGAGAACGGAAAAGUCUUUUAGUAACUGAAGUUCCAAGUCGACCUCGUUUGUUGCAUUAAGCGUUCGAUCUUGGCUCGUAUAUCUUGAUCGAGGCAUGAGUUCGAUCUAAACCACUAGAUUCCGUUUGGUAGAGGAACUUGUAUCCUUGUCCAUCUAUCAUAGAUAUAAUAUGAUCUCGUCUCUUAUUGUACAAAUACGGGGAAGUUCUUACGUCAUAGAAAGAUCAUAGCGAAUGGUGUGUCGUCAGCUCGAGAUCUCGUUGGGAUGUGUUUUAAUUGUUUCUUUUGAGCAUUGAGAACUCCUCUUCGCUGGAAGGUGAGAGGCGGGUGCUUGUAGUCGGGGCUCUCCAGCUUCUGAGCUCUCGUUCGUGGGAUUUGAGUAGAUAGUAACCUUAGUUCAUGUCUCAUAUGACUUAAUUUAUAAUCAUCUCGAGUGAGACAUCGAUAUCGUUGGUCUUGAACGAGACGUCGAGUUCGUCGAUUCUUGUCUCAAAUAGGAAGUCGGGUGUGCAGGUUACGAGUAAAUAACGAAUCCGAGACCUUGAGAUGUCUAUACUUGAUCAUGCUUCUUUCGACUUCUGUCGUUUCCUGUCCUCUUUUCAUAAUGAUAAGAUAUCUGGUGUUUAUGGAUUCUAAGAUCUCGAGCCCUUCUUUUCGUGGAGUCUUUGCGCUCUCAGUCUUGAAAUAUUCGGUUUUGGAUAUGGUAAAAUCGGGAACACCUAGAACUGUGUUCGAGACAUGAGGUUGUGGCCGAAGGGAGAGUAAAUCUUUUAGUUCUAGAGCUUGGCGAGCUCCGCUUCUUCCCUUCCACCAAACGGUGCUCAAGAUAUAUAUGGUCCCUUUGUUGGUGUAUUUAGUCAGUGUGCACAGUCCAAGCACGCUCGUGAUAUUGUGACAUGGUCUCGUCAAGAUUAUUCCUCACUUCUGAUCAUUUAUUAAUCAAGGAUUCAUGCUCAACGCGUAGCGAAGUCGUUUUCUUUGUCUUAUUCUGAGCCGUCCAAGAUAAUACCGACAAUUUCUUGCUUCUGCGAUCUGUUAAUCAGGACAUUUUACAUUCUUCUGCCUCGGCAUAGGUAUUUGUUUGAGUGCAUUAGCUCGGUUAGCAAACUUUUCUCGUGUUGGACGAUCAUUUGACCGGCCCCGAACUCGGGAGGUCGGGCUAUCAGAACUCGUCGCCGAUCUGCUUUGGUUUGAGAAGGUUAUUGGUGAAACUCGGCGAGAUGAAUUAUUUUUAUCAUCAACGGAGAUUCAUAGCUGAGGUCGGGAUCGAAUCUCAUGUUCCGUUUCUUGUUUAUGAUGCAUUGAGAUCGAUGCCAUCGUGGUGUGAUGGUUUGUUUAUUGUGGUAUUGGACACCAUAUGAGAUGAAUCCAUUUUCGUGCUUACAAGCCUUAGAUCGGGUUCCUAUCAAGGAUGUUUUUCUUUUUUCUUCUCCACAGUCGGCGCCAAAAUGUAGAUCCUAAAAUCUACACUAAGAAUUUGAUAGUGAUCGGGAGUUCAAUCUAGGGAAGAAAUAACGUGGGCAGCGAUAUCCUUAGAACACAACGAUGUAAUCAGAUAUGAGUCGACAAGAAUGGACUAUAUUCGCAGGUCGAAUAUCAUAGAGAUAUCGGGAUUAAGAAGGAUCGUGACUGAACUCGGGAUCGAGCUGCCUACGUACCCGUCAAGGGAUCAAGUCUAAACGUAGUUCGAUUAUAAUCAUCUCGAAAGAGAUGUCGGUUUUUUCGGUCAUGGGCGAGACCUCGACUUCGUCGGUCUCGGGCUUGAUGUUUGCUUCGAACUCUCUUGUAUUGAAUAAUUAGUAGUUAGUGUACGAUUGAUAAGUUCUCGAACUGCAUAUGAUCUCUUUAGACCGAUCUUGUCGUAUGAAGAUAAGGUCAAUCAUUGACAUGAUACGAGGGUCGCUAUCGUCAUGGAUUCUUGUUUUCACAAGUACAAAGAUGUGUUUACGUCGUGAGAUGAUUAUUGGGAAUCUCAUCUCUCUCGUUCUUCUUAAACCAUAAAGAAAUGGAUGACUUGUUUAAUCAUUAAACAAAUAUAAUGAUUCUAUCAUGUCUUGGUGGAGGAAGAUGGCGAUCUUGCCGAGACCGAAGUCUCUCCACCUUUUCGUCAGUCUUUAUUCUUUUGUUUUCAUCAUUUUUAUCUUUGCUUCUUCCCCGGAGAAGACGCCAUCUUCGUUAGAUCCAAGGCCUCUUUUAUAUGAGAGCAAGGUUGUUGCAAGAAUCUAGUAAUAUGGUUAAUAAUUUGUUGCACAUGCUCCACAUUUCUAGCUACGACCUAUUCUUUAUUGAUCGCUCUCCGAUAUAUAAGGAGAAUAAUUCUCUUUGUUCUUUGACUUAUUCAUAGUCAAUGAACCUCGGGCUCUAUGGGACGACUUCGGGUUACGAGUUCUCAUGGGCCUGUCUAAGCUCAACUCGAGGUCGUCGUUAGCCGGUUUCUUAUCUUUUUGGCGGGAAGGAUUUAGUGCUAAAUUCUGGUAACAGUGGACACCACAGUUAGUUCAAGUUAUAUUUUGACUUGAACAUUUACGCCAGCCAAGCUUUCAUCAACAGUUGCUGAGGAUUUUCCGCAUGUCGAGACAAUGGGAGAGAUUCAAAAGCAAGAACUUGUGUCAAUUGGGGGAUCUCUGCACGCACCUUUCCAAGUCCACCGACCAGACUAAUUGGCGGUGGAGUGUCAGAGCUCCCAAGAUGCUUCAAAGAACUUGCUGGCAAGCAGUGUCUCUUUCAGAUUCGAGUGACACCCUACAAUUUCACUCCCCACUACCGGACCUUCACAGUAGACGAAUAUGUGGAUGUGAAGACUCAUUCAGGGGUAAGCUAAGCUUUGUUUUUUUUUUAAUAAAUUGUAAGCUAAGCUUUGUUGAGAUAACAACCUGGAUGGAGGUGAUCUAGAAAAAAUUUCAUAUUAGUAUCACGGUGAAAGUAACAACAGAGCUCCACAAGUGGUAAGCCAAAGUGAGCAACCACCUGCUUCUGCAAGCGAUCCGGUAGAUGCGGCUACAAAAGUGAUGGCAGUGGAUCAACCAACACCACCCAGCUUUGGAGUCCAAGUUGCAAACGCUACCUUGAGUGAAAGUUGGAAGUGUAGUAAGUUGUAGAUUACCUACAGUUUAUGUUCGUGCAUUACAAACUGUACAUUAACUAUUUCCCUUUUGUUUUUAAUUUCCAUGUUUGGUUUUUUGUUUUUAAAUUUGCUGCAACCAAGUAUAGAAGGA